rnacentral:misc_RNA from 1 species
AAGUCGUAACAAGGUUUCCGUAGGUGAACCUGCGGAAGGAUCAUUACCGAACUGUCAACAAGAGCUGUUGCUGGUCCCUUUACGGGGACAUGUGCACGCUCUGUUUACACAUCCACUCACACCUGUGCACCCUCUGUAGUUCUGUGGCCUGGAUGGGCUCUGUCCUCCGGCUGUGGUCCUACGUCUUUACACACACUACAGUAAAGUCUCAUGGAAUGUAUGUAGCGUUUAACGCAAUGAAAUACAACNNUNNNCNNNGGAUCUCUUGGCUCUCGCAUCGAUGAAGAACGCAGCGAAGUGCGAUAAGUAAUGUGAAUUGCAGAAUUCAGUGAAUCAUCGAAUCUUUGAACGCACCUUGCGCCCUUUGGAUAUUCCGAAGGGCAUGCCUGUUUGAGUAUCAUGAACACCGCAACUCUCAUGGCUUGCCAUGAUGAGCUUGGACUUUGGGGGUCUUGUUGGCCUGUGAGCCAGCUCCUCUUAAAUGAAUCAGCUUGCCAGUGUUUGGUGGCAUCACGAGUGUGAUAACUAUCUACGCUUGUGAUUUCCCACCAGGUAACCUUCGGCAAUGGAGGUUCGCUGGAGCUUAUAAAUGUCUCUCCUCGGCGAAGACACAUUUUGACCAUUUGAUCUCAAAUCAGGUAGGACUACCCGCUGAACUUAA